UUUGGAGGCAGUUUCCUGAUGAAUGAUUACCGGCUCCAUUGGAUCUGUAUUUGCAUGCAAGAUGAAAAUGUCGAAGACAACCAGUGAACCUCAGUCCGUCUGUGAUCUGCAGUCUGCAAGGCCCGCCAAAUCAGACCCCUACAUAUCUCUGCUACCUCACCUUUAUCCCUCAAACCUACCAGAAUUUCAACUGAUGUCCUGCAGUUCUUCACUUCCAGAUUUGUGCUGCUUUUUGUAAAAUAAAACCAUCAAACUCACUGGUUCUCCAUGUGAUUCUGCA